ensembl:lncRNA
GGAACCACAUCCUUACCUAAAUUGGAUGUUUACCUUCAGAGAUUGCCCUGGAAUGUGAUGAACGUUCUGUAGCCCCGAGAAACGGGAAGGCCCAUGAGGGUGGGGAAUUGCCAAGGGACUGGAAAGCAGGGAAGCAGGUGUCCCUGGAUAAGGGUCAUGAUGUAACAACCAAACUCACCUGUAACAACCAAAUUCACCUGUAACAAACUCACGGGUUGUAUAAAAGGGAAGAGAAAAAUAAACUCGUAGCUCGGUCUUGGGAGCCCUGACGACUCUGUCUUUUUUCUUUUGAAGUGUGUUUUUUCUUUCAUCCUCACCCCUCCUCUCAGAUGCACACGUUGAAAAUACCGUCCCCUCCCCCACACACAGUGAUGAUAUUAGGAGGUGAGAUCUGGGGGAGACGAGGAGGUUGGAGAGUACUUCCUCAGGAGUGGGACUGGUGUCUUAACAUAGAGACCCGCAGGGCGCUGGCUUGCCCUCCCGCCACAUGAGGACACGGUCAGACAGCGCCACCUAUAGACCGGGAGGUGGAGUUCACGAGACACCCAUCUGCCGGCACUUUGAUCUUGCAUUUCUGACCUCCAGAAUCUGAGGAAUGAAUUUCUGUCAUUUCCGAGCUCCUGGUCUGUGGAGUUCGGUUCUAAGACACCCACCUGUGCCUGAAGCUCACAGGGUGACCACUCGAGACAGUGGGCGAAGCCUGGGCACACGGGCAGCACGUGGGCCAGGGACCCGCAGUGAGGGUCCGCACAUGAAAAGCGGGACAAGCAGCAGAUCCGGUCUCCUGCCCACCCCCUGUGACUGAGCUUCAUACACCCAGGACUUCACCUCUCCUCCUGGGCCCACCUGUGACCUGCGUGCCGCCCCCUCCCGGCUCUGUGAUCUCCUCUGGGGCUCUGACCCUCUUGUCCGUGCCUCUGUUUGUGGUUCCAUUCUUUGCUUUGAUGUCUCUUCCCCUAUAACCUGCAUAGACCUGCAGGCCAGAUGGCCAGGAAAGGAGUGUUCCAUCCUGACCAAGGGCCCUGGAGACAGAACACAGUCAUCUCCCACAAGCUGUAGUUUCCCAUGUGUCAAGGUCUGAACUUAUCUGGAAUUGGAGGCGGCAGACUUCAUUAGGUCCGGCGUUUGUCUUUGGAGGAAGUAUGCAGGCCCAGUCAUCUUUAUCUCCAUCUUUAUCUUGAGGCCUGGUCUCCAGCAGAUGCGUCUCCAGCUGCAGCUGUGAUGUCUUCCACCUUUCCCCUGACUCUCAGGCCCAGCCCUGUCUGACUGCCUGUAAUAUUUCUACCUAACUCAGCUGUCUGUAAUGAAAGGAGCCAAGGAUAAGAGCUCAGGGCUUAGCUCUGAAGCCCCCUGCCACCUCACAGUAGCUGUUUAUCCUCUUUCCUUUCCAUCCUUUUCCCCAAAAAAACUGUCUUUUAACUAGGACUGGAAGUCCCAUUUGACCCCACUAUUCCCCUGCUGGGGAUCUUCCCCAAAGAAUUAAAAGAUUCAUACCACAGUGCUACAUGUGCACCCAUGUUCAUAGCAGCACAGUUUGUAACAGCUAAAACUUGGAAGGAGCCCAAAUGCCCGUCACCUGGAGACUGGAUAAAGAAAAUGUGGGUUUUUAAUAAAAUGGAGUAGAACUCAGCCAUAAAAAAUGAGAAAUUAGAGACAUUUAUAGCUAAAUGGAUGGACAUUGAGGCCAUACUCUUAAGUGAAAUAAAUAGGACACACAUCUGUAAAUGCAGAAUAGUUUCUCUAGUGUGAGAAAUUGAAAGUGUAAAUAAGGACUAAAAGGUAUAAUAGAUAAUGUGAAAUAGGAAGAAAAGGG